rnacentral:rRNA from 1 species
GUGGAUUAGAUACCCUGGUAGUCCAUGCCGUAAACGAUGUUCACUAGGUGUUGGGAGUAUUGACCCUCUCAGUGCCGAAGCUAACGCAUUAAGUGAACCGCCUGGGGAUUACGGCCGCAAGGCUAAAACUCAAAGGAAUUGACGGGGGCCCGCACAAGCGGUGGAGCAUGUGGUUUAAUUCGAUGCAACGCGAAGAACCUUACCUGGACUUGACAUCCCGGGAAUCUCCUGGAAACAGGAGAGUGCCUUUCGGGGAACCCGGUGACAGGUGCUGCAUGGUCGUCGCCAACU